rfam:Schistosoma mansoni strain Puerto Rico chromosome 6, complete genome
GCUGACGAGUCCCAAAUAGGACGAAACGCGCAUCC